AUGGAACAGCGCUGCAUAUUGAUUAUAGCUACUUACAUGGUGAGGCGAAGAAAAGCAAGUCUGUGUGUGUGUGUGUGUGUGUGUGUGUGUGUAUGUGUGUGCGCGCGUGUGCGGGUUUUGGGGGAGGGUAGGGGAGUGCUAACGAAAACCUUUCAGACAAGAAUAAAAUGCUUAUUCGCUUCUUUACAGGUGUUCAGUCCAAAAGAGUGCCAGAAAAUCCAGGAACAUAGCUGGUUGCUUUUUGUCUUGAAAGGCCAAACAAAAAGCAAAGGAGUAGAAAAAGUAGAGGCUGAGAUGAUGGAGAAAAAGACUAUCCCUGAGCUUCUUUGCAGCUUGGCACCAUCUCGUUCUGACACCUGAGGGAUUACUUUGUUUCCACAUCAAUAUCAGCUUGUCUGUGAAAACUCUUGCUCUAAUUUCCAGUUAUAUUUACUUUAUGUGCUAUAGAUUUUAGUUCAUCUUCUUACUUGGUAUUAAUUACUUGAUCAAUUAAUGAUCAUUUAUUAACCAUAUAGAAGGAAACCAUCCUGAACCAGAUGCUCAUAAAGGUGAAAACCACGAGUCUAAUAUUUUAGUGAUGUCUGGUAAGAAAGCCCUGAGACAUUGAACACUCCCUUUGAUGAGACACCCAACCAACCAGGUCCCUGUACACAGAAGAAGGCAAAGAACUUGAAUCUUUCAUGUUAACAAUGGCUUCUGUUGCUAAACAACACUGUACAUCCUACCAAGUUGAGUACAACUCCAUGGAGUAUGAUCUCAAGCAGUUACCCUGAAUGAAUGAGAACAGUACACGAGUGCUUAUCUGUCCACAACCACCCCAGGGCCCAGCCUUAUCACCCCU
rnacentral:lncRNA from 12 species